rnacentral:rRNA from 1 species
AUUGAACGCUGGCGGCAGGCCUAACACAUGCAAGUCGAGCGUGAAAGGGCUUCGGCCUGAGUAAAGCGGCGGACGGGUGAGUAACGCGUAGGAAUCUACCUGGUAGUGGGGGAUAACGUUCCGAAAGGGACGCUAAUACCGCAUACGUUCCGAGGAAGAAAGCGGGGGAUCGCAAGACCUCGCGCUAUCAGAUGAGCCUGCGUCCGAUUAGCUAGUUGGUGGGGUAAAGGCCUACCAAGGCGACGAUCGGUAACUGGUCUGAGAGGAUGAUCAGUCACACUGGAACUGAGACACGGUCCAGACUCCUACGGGAGGCAGCAGUGGGGAAUAUUGGACAAUGGGCGCAAGCCUGAUCCAGCCAUGCCGCGUGUGUGAAGAAGGCCUUCGGGUUGUAAAGCACUUUAAGCGGGGAGGAAGGCCUGGCGGCUAAUAUCCGUCGGGAUUGACGUUACCCGCAGAAUAAGCACCGGCAAACUUCGUG